CUUUCCCAGGUUUCUUCCUUCUCCCCAGACCGGCCUUCCAUUCCUCACCUACUGCCAUGUUUUCUAGAGCCAGGACCUCCUCACCUUCCAAGUGUCAAGUUUAGAAUGCCUACCUGAAAACAGGGAUGAGGAGGAGAAAGAAGAGGAAGAGACAUGAGAGAGUAUGAAUCUCCAGAAUCAGAACAAACAACCCUGCUCACUCGAAACUUGUGACUGCGUCACAUUCGUGGAGUCACUGAUAAGGAGAUCAAAGACUCUGCCUGUGAGCAUGCAGCCCAGAGCGAAACUGAACUAGACAACUCCUUGCAGGCCCAGCACGGUUUGGUCCUGCUCCCUGUGAGGUGCCUGUGGCAGAUGAAUGUCCCUGUGGUCAAGAGGUUGGGGAUUCAGCUUUCCCCAAAUUGCUGAGAGACCGGGCCAACAUACCUGCUUCUCUUCUUCCCACCUAGAUCUUUAAAAUGAAACCUUCCUGGAACUGUACAGAGCUUGACUCCUGAUGUACCAGCCUGCCAUCAAGUCACUGCUCACAGACGAGGUCCCCAUGUGACUGACCUCCAGACCUUAGCACAACGGACACCAUGAUGGAGGCACCAUUCUGACCUAAGAGCCCAGCACAUAGACUCCAACUCCUGCCCAAAGGAGAACAAAAACUUAAUCCAUCGUAGUCCAUAGUUCUGGGGAAAGUCCCCAGAUGUGCUAGCCCUGCUUUUGGCUUCUGUAGCUCCGCUUAUUGCUAAAUGUUCUUGCUAAUUGAAGUGUGUCAACUAGAAUAUGUGUGUGUGUGUGUGUGUGUGUGUGUGUGUGUGUGUGUG